AAGUUGUAACGAGCUUUCCGUAGG
rnacentral:rRNA from 1 species